CUACGUAGGGUGCGAGCGUUAAUCGGAAUUACUGGGCGUAAAGCGUGCGCAGGCGGUUAUAUAAGACAGAUGUGAAAUCCCCCGGCUCAACCUGGGACCUGCAUAUGUGACUGUAUAGCUAGAGUACGGUAGAGGGGGAUGGAAUUCCGCGUGUAGCAGUGAAAUGCGUAGAUAUGCGGAGGAACACCGAUGGCGAAGGCAAUCCCCUGGACCUGUACUGACGCUCAUGCACGAAAGCGUGGGGAGCAAACAGGAUUAGAUACCCUGGUAGUCCACGCCCUAAACGAUGUCAACUGGUUGGUGGGUCUUCACUGACUCAGUAACGAAGCUAACGCGUGAAGUUGACCGCCUGGGGAGUACGGCCGCAAGGUUGAAACUCAAAUGAAUUGACGGGG
rnacentral:rRNA from 1 species